GAAUAUUGGACAAUGGGCGCAAGCCUGAUCCAGCCACGCCGCGUGAGUGAUGAAGGCCUUCGGGUUGUAAAGCUCUGUGGGGAGGGACGAAAAAGGUGAGGACUAAUACGCCUCGCCCUUGACGGUACCUCCUUAGCAAGCACCGGCUAACUCUGUGCCAGCAGCCGCGGUAAUACAGAGGGUGCGAACGUUGCUCGGAAUCACUGGGCGUAAAGCGCGUGUAGGCGGACGAUCAAGUCGGGCGUGAAAGCCCCGGGCUCAACCCGGGAACUGCGUCCGAAACUGGUCGUCUCGAGUGUCGGAGAGGGAAGCGGAAUUCCUGGUGUAGAGGUGAAAUUCGUAGAUAUCAGGAGGAACACCGGUGGCGAAGGCGGCUUCCUGGACGACUACUGACGCUGAGACGCGAAAGCGUGGGGAGCAAACAG
rnacentral:rRNA from 1 species